rfam:Gossypium raimondii Chr09_contig_925, whole genome shotgun sequence.
AUUCCACGAUAAGGGCACUUCCGUAAUAAUUUUUUAAACCUCUCCCACGCUACAUACAAGGACUCGUCAUCCAACUGUUGGAAAGUAAUAAUUUUAUUCCGUAACU